rnacentral:rRNA from 1 species
UACGUAGGUGGCGAGCGUUGUCCGGAUUUAUUGGGUUUAAAGGGUGCGUAGGCGGCUUAUUAAGUCAGUGGUGAAAUAUCGCAGCUUAACUGUGAGGGUGCCAAUGAUACUGAUGAGCUUGAGUGAAGUCGAGGUAGGCGGAAUUGACGGUGUAGCGGUGAAAUGCUUAGAUAUCGUCAAGAACACCAAUAGUGAAGACAGCUUACUAGGCUUGAACUGACGCUGAGGCAAGAAAGUGUGGGGAUCAAACAGG